GACGUGGCACUGAAGCGAAAUUCAACCAGGAACUCAAGUUAGUAGCAUUGCUACUCGUACUCGUAAAUUACCUUAGAUUUGCGCAAGCUGGGUCUUUGUUCGCGAUUUCUAUCGCUUGUUAAAGUUAAUAUGAUGAGUUAAUAUAACGAGUUAAUAUAAUAUAAGAGCGAGUAGUAGACGAAUAUGUAACGAAUGGGGGAAAGAUUAUUUUUCUUAUCGUGUAUCAUUCGUAACUUUAAAAUAAAUGUGUUCCAAAGGGGGUAGAAAUACUAACUGUUAGACUAGUUUAUUAAUUUUUUAGAUACUUUAAACACCCUAUCAAUUAUUAAUUUUUAUCGCGGUCCUCGACGAACGCCACAUUCCAUGGAAGCGUAAAUGCUUGAAAAUGCUGGAUUUUUAUCGACUAGCUGCGACGACCUUAUCGCGAUGGAGAUUAGUAUAAUGAAAGUAACGUCAAUAAUAGACGGUAUUUAUGGAGCAUGAUUUCAUGAUAGAGAUAUUCUUUCAUCGUGUAACCUACGCGUUUGCACUAAUACGUGGGAGUCGCUUCGCAGCGUUCCAUCAAAGUCGUUAUCAAGUACGCCGAUAAACAAUUUACUUCGUGAAACUGAACAAAUACUAGCAAAUUAUGACAUAUUUGCACUGUAGAGUUAACCCUGAAAUGCGUCAAGUUUCAAUUUUGAUAUCGGACUCGUAUGUUUUCUUUUUUAUUAAAUUGUUAAUAACGGCGAAGUUGAAGAUUCGUUCGUUCGCAUGGCUGAUCUAGAAAGCGCGAGAAAGCAAUCGUUUUGGCUAGUUCCCUCUGUCGUCGCAUUCCCAGCAUCCCGUUAGGAGUAUCGUAACGGUAAAAGCAACCGGUAGAUCCUCGCAUCGAUCCUCGAGACGCGAACCAAGAUUGCAUCGCAUUCGUCUAUGGAUUUCUAUACGCCCCUUGGACGUUCGAACGAUAAAUCUUUCAAUUGUGAAUUUCAACCGUAACAUGGUAAAAGGAAAUUCUAUUUUUUCUGCAUGUAAUUUAACAACAAUCUAUUAACUGUAUUCAGUUGUCGAUAGGACGGUGUUCCUCGCGCUGAAGUUUAUCAACGUAUCAAUAAGUCUGAUCCGAUGGUUAAGUAUCGUUAAAUAAAGUACGGUAAAUCAGUGCGCAAUUGAAAACAGGUUGGGAGAAUUUAUAUUCCGCCGUAUUUGGUCGUAUCGGUUCGUUCACCUUGCACUGUCUAGAAAAACGGUAAUACGCAGCUGUUGCAUCAUUAUUCCUGCAAGAUCAUCGGCCUUUCUCCCCUGUUGUGUAAUAAUACGAUACGUCUAAACUAUACCGAAUCGAUAGGACACGAUUCGUUCGAAUUAAUCUUUGAUCCUGUACCCUCCAGAGAGUUAUCCUCGCCGGUGACCAUUCUAAUUCAGUGUAAUAUAGUAAUAUUUCUAAUUUAGGAACACGGCUCGACGCAUUUAUCUAGAAACGACGAUUAAAUAUUUCUACUCGAACUAAAGUUGUAAACGAUCGAAUACAAAGGGACAGAAUUGAUUUCUUUUUGUUUGAUACGAAAAGCAAUGGUCGACAAACAGAAUGAAUGAAUCAGGAGAGGAAGCAGGAAGCAGCAGGUGGAGUCGACGGUCAGGAACAGGGAGACACGCGUCAGCGGUCACAUGUUUCCCAACGAAAUUCGACCGUAAAAAACGAAACAGAAAGGCACCCUUACGACGAGUUUCCAGGCACGUGCAUUUCUGCCUCUCAGUGCCGACGCUGGAAUACGAAACUAGACAACCAACGUGUUAACAACUAAAAUCGUUCGUUAAGGUAUCUCGGAGCAGUUUAUCGAACGUUCCACGAUUCCCACCGUUUUUCCAACCGCGUCGAGGGUUCGCUUCGAUACCGUCUACGAGUCUAGACACUCUUUACGUGGCGCUGGUCGGUUUAGUCACCUCGAGAAAGUAAGAGCCGCCUAUCUGUCGUCAUGGUCAACGAACUCCGGCUACUUCACCUUCUGCGAAUGUACUCAUUACGCAUUACGUCCACGCGUUGCGUAGCCGCUGUGUAAUUAGACGUUACGUUUACGCCUGUUUUGCAACUUCGUUCGAUCAGCUACUCGAAGGAAGAAUCCCCUGGAAUCGACGCGAACGAAACGCGACGCUGUCAUCGAGGAAACUCGAGGGGAUGAGCGUCGUAAUACGUUCGUGUCGCGCGAAAUUCCAAAGGAUUUGUACAAGUUCGCACAGUUUGGUUCAACGACACUCGUACGCUCCAGCGAUCGGCCGAGAAUACCGUGGGAGAGUCCAAGUUAUUAACCCCUUGCACUCGACAACAGUUUCAUUACAGAGAGCUAAUCAUUUCGACGACUAAACAUUCUUCUACCAUAAAUAAAAUACUUUACUACUACUUCCAAGCGUACCUGUUCACAGCUUAGGAGUCUAUUAAGGAAAUCUAAGAUAUAAUAACCCCUUUCGGCGUCUAGAUGCAGCGAAUAUUAUUUCUUGUUGCGCGCAAGCUUUCGCGAGUUACGACAAACUCUUCGCGCGAAGAUUCGAACAGCAGAGGAACGACGCAUGUCGAAAACACGAAGUAUGGGAGCUCCAACAACGUGUUUACAACGGAGAUUACAUUAGAAUGACGCGUUGGCACCUCUGACCAUGAAAGCGCGGUCGACGACCCGUGGAC